rnacentral:rRNA from 1 species
UGGGGAAUAUUGGACAAUGGGGGGAACCCUGAUCCAGCCAUGCCGCGUGUGUGAAGAAGGCCUUAUGGUUGUAAAGCACUUUAAGCGAGGAGGAGGGUACUGGUAUUAUUACUACCAGGUACUGGACGUUACUCGCAGAAUAAGCACCGGCUAACUCUGUGCCAGCAGCCGCGGUAAUACAGAGGGUGCGAGCGUUAAUCGGAUUUACUGGGCGUAAAGCGUGCGUAGGCGGCUAAUUGAGUCGGAUGUGAAAUCCCCGAGCUUAACUUGGGAAUUGCAUUCGAUACUGGUUAGCUAGAGUGUGGGAGAGGAUGGUAGAAUUCCAGGUGUAGCGGUGAAAUGCGUAGAGAUCUGGAGGAAUACCGAUGGCGAAGGCAGCCAUCUGGCCUAACACUGACGCUGAGGUACGAAAGCAUGGGGAGCAAACAGG